rnacentral:tRNA from 1 species
AAAGUUUUAGUAUAAUAUAAAGUAUAAUUUAUUGUCAAUAAAUAGGAAAAUUCUUAA